rnacentral:ncRNA from 2 species
AAAAAAGCGUUGAUAAACAGUAGUAUGUAACAGACCAUUUCAAGAGAGGAAUUUCCGUGGCUGUAAGAGGUUCUAAAUGAAGGGUUACAGAAGCUUGUUUGGAGUGCAGCUAAUCCCUGCCGGUUAAACACCGUUAUCGUUCUUAAGGUGAUGAAUCUGAUGGUUCAUAAUCAGGGUGGUACCGCGAUAGUCAACUCUCGUCCCUGCA